ensembl:lncRNA novel transcript
AGUCUCACUAAAGAACUAAGGAUGCUCUUCUCUCCUAAUGAAGUUGUGUUUACUUCUCAGGUAGGGACAGUGAGAGAGAAUCAUGCCAUUCAAAUAGAAGUUUUAUUCUCAGCAUCCAGCACAUCAAUUCACCAUAGUAGAAGCUCAAAGGAAGGAUACGUCUAUUGAGAAAUUGCACGCCAAGUAAAAUCCUGAGAUAAACAACUUCAUACAAGAGAAACUGACAGUUUACCAUACAUUUUUGGAAUUUAAAGAGUUGUUGUGGUGUGCUUUCUUUUUGUGCAAAUUAUGGAAUAGAUGAAAGUGACAGAGUGAUGACACCACCUAAAUGGAAGCAUAAUGUAGAUGGUUAUUGCAGAUGCCUUACCACACAGCUCUGCCAGCGCACAUGCUUCCUGCAAACCUCCUGCAAUUUAAACCCUUGGGCUCCUUCAACUAAUGACGCUAAUUUGCCAAUGGAGCAAUGGCUUUCUUCGCUAAACACUCACCUACAAAGGAGUA